UACGGAGGGGACUAGCGUUGUUCGGAAUUACUGGGCGUAAAGCGCACGUAGGCGGAUUUGUAAGUCAGGGGUGAAAUCCCGGGGCUCAACCUCGGAACUGCCUUUGAUACUGCAAAUCUCGAGUCCGGAAGAGGUGAGUGGAAUUCCUAGUGUAGAGGUGAAAUUCGUAGAUAUUAGGAAGAACACCGGUGGCGAAGGCGGCCAUCUGGACCGCAACUGACGCUGAGGCGCGAAAGCGUGGGGAGCAACAGGG
rnacentral:rRNA from 1 species